rnacentral:rRNA from 1 species
CCCGCUGAACUUAAGCAUAUCAAUAAGCGGAGGAAAAGAAACUAACAAGGAUUCCCCUAGUAACUGCGAGUGAAGCGGGAAAAGCUCAAAUUUAAAAUCUGGUGGUCUUUGGCUAUCCGAGUUGUAAUCUAGAGAAGUGUUAUCCGCGCUGGACCGUGUACAAGUCUCCUGGAAUGGAGCGUCAUAGAGGGUGAGAAUCCCGUCUUUGACACGGACUGCCAGGGCUUUGUGAUGCGCUCUCAAAGAGUCGAGUUGUUUGGGAAUGCAGCUCAAAAUGGGUGGUAAAUUCCAUCUAAAGCUAAAUAUUGGCGAGAGACCGAUAGCGAACAAGUACCGUGAGGGAAAGAUGAAAAGAACUUUGGAAAGAGAGUUAAACAGUACGUGAAAUUGCUGAAAGGGAAACGCUUGAAGUCAGUCGCGUUGUCCGGGGAUCAACCUUGCUUUUGCUGGGCGUACUUCCCGGUUGACGGGUCAGCAUCAAUUUUGACCGUUGGAUAAAGUCUAGGGGAAUGUGGCAUCUUCGGAUGUGUUAUAGCCCUUGGUCGCAUACAACGGUUGGGAUUGAGGAACUCAGCACGCCGCAAGGCCAGGUUUCGACCAUGUACGUGCUUAGGAUGCUGGCAUAAUGGCUUUAAUCGACCCGUCUUGAAACACGG